rnacentral:lncRNA from 1 species
UUCCAGUUUGGGCUAUUUUAAGGUAUUUUUGUCUGAACAUGAUAAAUUUCUUUUUCAUAUGAUUUAUAACAUGUCAUUUCAGGAUACUGAAGUCUUCCAGACAACAUUAAUCUAUCGAUGACUCUGAGGUGAAGAUGUGAUUGAUGCAGUUACAGACAUUGGUGUCAUAGAUAUACAGGAUGUGCAGUUAAGAGACAGGAAUCUACUAGUAAACUGGUAAUAAACCUAAGUCUGGAAGGACCACAACAAACAUCUCACCUGAGUCUUUCAUUAAUGUGCCAAACUGUCUGACCUAAGAUCUUCUGAAAAAAUGAAGAAAAUCCAAUGAAUGGAAAAUUGGGGUUACUGUGUAUGCAAAGUGAAAUAAUAGUUAUUUGAGUAUUGAAUCUUCCAAAAGGAAAAUUUGAAAAUGAUUAAGUGCAUUCAGACAAGAAACUAUAAUGCUGGGAGAGGUGAAAAGGGGAA